rnacentral:rRNA from 1 species
CCUUAACUGACGCUAAUGCUCGAAAGUGCGGGUAUCGAACAGGAUUAGAUACCCUGGUAGUCCGCACGGUAAACGAUGGAUGCCCGCUGUUGGCGAUACAGUGUCAGCGGCCAAGCGAAAGCGUUAAGCAUCCCACCUGGGGAGUACGCCGGCAACGGUGAAACUCAAAGGAAUUGACGGGGGCCCGCACAAGCGGAGGAACAUGUGGUUUAAUUCGAUGAUACGCGAGGAACCUUACCCGGGCUUGAACUGCAGGAGAACGAUUCAGAGAUGAUGAGGUCCUUCGGGACUCCUGUGGAGGUGCUGCAUGGUUGUCGUCAGCUCGUGCCGUGAGGUGUCGGCUUAAGUGCCAUAACGAGCGCAACCCCUUUCUUCAGUUGCCAUCAGGUUAUGCUGGGCACUCUGGAGACACUGCCACCGUAAGGUGUGAGGAAGGUGGGGAUGACGUCAAAUCAGCACGGCCCUUACGUCCGGGGCUACACACGUGUUACAAUGGGUGGUACAGAGAGCGGGCUGCCUGCAAAGUCAGCCGAAUCAUGAAAGCCAUCCUCAGUUCGGAUUGGGGUCUGCAACCCGACCCCAUGAAGCUGGAUUCGCUAG